UUUGGCAGCACCCCACAACAUGUACUAAAAUUGGCAUGACACAGAGAAGAUUAGUGUGGCCACCAUGCAAGGAUGACAAGCAAAUUCAUGAAGUAUCUCGUAGUACG
rnacentral:snRNA from 1 species